CCAUUUGCUUUCAUUAUUUUGUUAUUAUUUUUCCUUGUUAGUUACACCUAGUUGAAGAAUAGGAAAAAGAGUAAUACAUUUGUUAUAUUUAGGUUUUUCAUGUAAAUUUCUCUGGGGAAAAUGGAGGAACAACUUUCCUCGAAAUUAGAGCAUAGUUUCAUUUCCUAUUGUAGCAGAUAGACUGAUAAGGAUUUGUUAAAUGGUUCAGGGAUGGGAUACUUUCUCUGGAGUCUGAUCAUCAGAUGAUGGAAUCAAUUUCAUCACAGAUGUGUAUGUGCAAGUUGGAAGGGUGUGGUUAUUGUCUUGGUAUCCACACUUCAUGGUUUCACACUUCGAGAGUCCUUUUGCUUUUGUGUGAAGUAUGAGCAAGGUGGAGCCUUUGAAUCAAGAAUCAUUGCUUCUUCUUAUCUCUGCAUUGAGAUCCCCAUUCUCCAUGCCAGCUUUCAUAAAUAGGUUCAUGUUAGAAGGUUUAUAAUUAAUAGUUUUCCCACCUCUUGACUACAUUUGAGGCAGGCUGAUAAUCUGAAUACAAUAUGUCAUAGGAAUCUGAUUAAAACAUUAAUUUGAUUAAAAGAGUUAUUGAAAACCGAAUUUAGAAAUUUAGGGUCUAUUUGAUAACUGUUUUUUAUAAUAUUUUUUUUGUUUUUUUUUAGAAUAAAAAAAGAAAAAACAGGUUUGAUAGGUUUGAUAAUUAAAAACUAUUUUUGUUUUAUAUUCUUAAAAAACAAAAAGCAUAUUAUUUUCAGAAAACAUUUUUUUUAUUAUUUUAUACCAUUUUCAUUUGUUUUUUAAGAGUUGUUUUAAAAAAUAAUUAUACAAAUAUGUAGAAUAAUUAAACAUAAAACACUAUAUAUAUAAAUUAUUUUUAAAAUAUCAAAAACAUUUUAAGUUUUCAAUCAGAUUUUUAUUUUACAAAACUUGAAAACAAUUUUCAAAACUUGUUCUCAAAAAUUAUUUUUUCAAAAACAGACCUUUAAACCUACAUAACUUUUUGGUCUUAUUUUGACAAAAAUGUAUUUUUUUUUUGCAAAAAUACGUUUUUCUUUUAAAACUUACGGGAAAGGGUUAAAUUCACAAAUAUGACUAAUUUUUUAUCUUAAAAGAAAUAGAUAAUAUUUUUAGGGAUGCAUUAUGUAGUGAAAAAAAAAAAAAAACGAUUUACCUGUUAAGAAUUUGUUGAGGAGUGAUUUGAGAGAAUCAGAAAGUGAUUUUCUAAUGUUUAAAAGAGUCUUCUAACGUCAAAUUGAAUAUUUGAAAAUCAUUUCUAAAAAGUUGGAGAAUCACUUGGAAGAUGAGUCAACUAAAAAUGCAAUGAAGAUGCAAAAAUCACUUUUAAAGUUUUAAAGUUUGUCAAUUUUUUUUCUUUCCUUUGAAGGAAAGUUUAUAAUCAUCUCAUAAUCUUUGGAAUUGGAGAAAGAAAACCAAAUCUCAAAUAAUGGAAUAUACUUAAAAAAGAAAAAUGAAAAGGUUAAAAUUCCAAAAUUCCUUAACAACUUGGUAAAAAAUAUAAAGAAAAAAUAAAGUGUAAUAAUAAUAAUAAUAAAGAAUUCUAGAUAAGGAAAAUAAUAAGUUUUUUAGAUAAUAUUUAAAUGUAUAUUUUUGUAUGGAAUGGCUUGACGUUGGAGUGUGCUCUAAUUCUAUUUGUCUACGCUUGUAAUUUUAUAAAACAUAAAUUAUUAUUUAAAAAUUAUUAAGAAGUAAUGUGGAAGUGGAAGAAAUAAAAAAUUAAAAUAUUUAUUAUUUGUAAUAGAAAGAAAAAAAAAGAUUAUAAAUUAACUGAAUUUAUAUUUUUAAUAAUAAUUAAUAAAUUAUUUGGAAGAUAAAAAUCAAAAUAUUUUUUUAAUUAAUAUCUAAUUUAAUAUAAAACAAUAUUUUUUAAUAUGAGAGGAUAAACAUAAUUUAUAAUUUUAUAAAUAUUAUAAAUAUAAAUAAUGUAUCAAUUAUAAUUAUAAUUAUUUUAUGUAUUUAAUUUAGUACAUAAAAUUAAUUAAUUUUUUCUAUACAUAUAUUUAUAAUAAUUAUAUUAUUUAAAUAUAUUAUUAGAAAAAAAAAAAAGAAAACAUCCAUUUCUUUGAGAAAACAUUUUUUUAAGGAAUUAUUUUAUCUUUUAAAAUUAAUUUUUUGAAGUAGACAACUUUUUGUGUAAGUUUUUUUUAUAAAAAAAAAUAAAUCAUUUGUUUCAAGAGAUGAUUUUUACCUAUAAUUAAAAAAAAAAAAAAAAAAAGACGAUUUUGACUGAAUUUUAAAAAAAAUAUUUUUAGAAAUAAUUUUUUCUUAUAAUUUUUAAUAAAUAAAUAGGCAUUUGAAGGGAUGAUUUUUGCUUUAAAUUAGGUGACUCUCUUUCAUAAUUGAAAAAAUAUGAGUACAAAUUAUUUUUUUUUAAAUUUACUGUACACUUAUCAAAAAAACCCUGGUGAGGCCCAGCCCAUGUACUCUGCCCAUUAUUUGUCAGAAAAUAUGCGUGGGUGGUGGGCCUCCACACACUGGGCAACUUAUAAUACUAUAUGAUCUAUAGUUACAAACUUAACAUCACGUGGUCCACAUGGGCCUAUUGCCCAUUCUAGGAGGCCUAGCACCGAACCUAUCCAACGGCUCCAAUUGAAACUCAGUCCCCACUUCAUCCAACGGCUCCUAUAGGCCCAUUUCAAUUCUCCACUGAUAAUAUUCUCCGGUGCUCACCUGAACGCAGCGCAAACCCUAUUUCUACUCUCUCGCGCUCACACUUUCUCCCUUUGUUUCGCUCUCUCCUCCCACCCGAAACAAACAGAGUCAUGAAAGGAGCGAUACGAUUCGGCGUAUCGGAUUCGGCCACCGACGCCAACGAUUCGGCCGUGAGUGUUUUUUUUUUCUUCUUCUAAUUGUAUUUUUGGUUUUUUGUUUUUUUUUUUAAAUGAUCGAAACCCUAGUGUUGUGGUUUCCCCCCUCGUUUUCCUGUGUCGUUCAAUUUUUGUGUGCUCAAUUUUUAUUUUUUUUCUGUUUAGUUGCUGAGAAAGCAGUGGAAAUUUGAAAGCGAAGGAAUAGAAAAUUUGAUUGGGUUGAGUUGAGAUGACUUUGUUUUUUUUUUAAAUUUAUUUAUUUUGGGGAGGGUUAAUUUGGGGUUUUUUUAUUUUUAUUUUUAGUGUUUGUGUUUAGUGACCAACCAAUACUUCAGAAAUGUUUUCUUCAGCUUUUUUGGAGACCAAACUGGGAAUUCUUGAUAUUUGAUUUUGACAAUGACAUUGUAAAGCGUGAAAAUUGUUGUUGUUGUUGUUGUUUUUUUUUUUUUUUUUCCUAUUGCUUUUUGCCCCCUUUGUUUAGCAUUUUUGAAUGGAAGUGUUUUUGGAUAUGUUAAAGUAUUUAUUUUUAAGUGUAAAUUUGUGGGAUUUUUUUUUUUUAAAAAAUUUUAUAUUUCUUUAUUUACAUUUUAGUACCGGGGGUGCCUUGAGUGGUUGAUUAUGCUGUGGGUUGGAUUUGUUUUCAAGGUUAUGUGGUACAGACUACAUAUUUUGUGCGGAAUGGUAUAAUCAAAUAAAUCUUCUGACUGCUUUAGUUAUUGUCACUACAGACCCGCAAGACAAUGUUGAUGGCUAUCCUCAAUAUGACCCAAAAGAUUUGCAAAAGAAAAAGAAAAUUUUGGUUGCUGGAAGAAAUCUAUCAUACCAUGGAGAUGAUUGAUUCUUCUUAAGAGAAUCUUCUUUUAUUUGUUUAUUUAUUGAUAUUAAAUGAUAACGUUACUAUCAAAUGAGCUACCGACUUCCUACUGAGAAAUCUCCCAGAAAAAAUUCUGAAGUAGCAGCUCCUCUCAUAGCUAAGAAGAAGUCCACCUAUUGGUUAACCUAUGUAUGGUUCCAGGAGAAAGAAACCCUUAAUAUAAAAAAAAUUCUGAAAGGGGAAAAUAAAGCACCGAAUCAUCAUUUCUGAUCAUUUUAAAUAAGGGAGGCUGUCUUUAGUGAAGGAUAGCUACUGCAUCGCAGAGAUUUUGGAUUUUCUUCUCUGUUUCUUUGUAUGAUGGUCAUGGUGUGGAGACUCAUUUAUUGUUUUUCCUAUGAUGAUGCAGUUACAGAGUAAAAGAAUAAUGGCAGGAUCCCCUUUUGAUUUUCACAGGGCAGAACCUUCCCAGCAACCAGUGAUGACAACACCCCCAUUAGAUGUGCGCCGGGCUGAAUCAUCUCGACAGCAUGUGAGAGCUCUGAAUACCCAAUUCGCGAGGUCUCUCUUUUAUUCACCAUAGUAGCAAUGCUUUCAUCAUGUACUAUGUAAUUGUUUUACAUUUUUUCUUGCUAUCGUGAACCUAAGGAUUUGUUAUGAUACAAUCUUCACUGUUUAGUUUAUCAAGAUGUUUAGUGUGUGUAUAUCCAAUGACUUGAAACAAUACCACAUUCCAAUAGGGUAUCUACUAUGCUAUUGUGUUUCUAAACUCGGUUAUAAGAAUUGUAGCCACAAGUUUCUGGCCAUGCCGCUUAUCCUUAUGGCACAACUAUCAAAAGUCACAAUGCAUGAUACUGUAUAACGCCUUUUUUAUUUUUAUGAAAAAUGAUACGCAUCACCUACAUGCAUUUCAUCUCAAGGCCAUUUUCCUAUACAUGUUAUAUAUGAUGUAAACACCACCUUUUACUCUGUUUAUUAGUUCCAAAAGAAUUUUUUUUUUGUCAUUAUGUUUUUCUCCAAUAAACUAUUAUAUUAUUUGCUUAAAAUGUACUCUAAGAUUUAGGAAUGGAUGGCAAAAAGGAAAGGACAAGAUAGAAUGAUCCUGCCCAAAUAUGAUAUAUAUAUGUGGCAUUAUUUGAAGCUUAAAUGUAAUUAUUGCUAGAAUAAAUGUUGAGCAAGGUAUUAUUGGAAUAAUUUGACUGUUGACCUUGAAAAUAAAUGUUGAAUAAAACUUUUGCUUUAUAUGUUAGUUAUUUCUUGUUAUUCCUUCUUUGAGGGAGGGAAUGACGAUGAUUUGAGAAGUCAGAACUUUGAAGAUGACAUAUAAGCACAUACAUAUCAACAAUCCACAGAAAUAUGUAUGACUAGCUUUAACUCAAAGUGGAAGUUAUUAUUGAAAAUUAAAAAAACUUAUUUAAGAAUUUAUGAAAAAUCUAGACGCUGAAAUGCCAUAUUUUGUUAAGCUAAUUUUGUCCAAACUCUAGUUUGCAAUUUUUUCAUAUGUCCACUAUUAAUAGAUGCUCAUUAUCUCUUUUAACGUUUUUAUCUUUUAGGAAAUUAGUUAUAUGUUACUUAUAUUUUGUUAUUGUAAUAUGUAUGUUGUUAUAUAAUUCUUUUUCUUUUUCUCCCUGUUGACACUUGAACCUAGAACCUGCCACAUCCCCACCCAUCAUAUUGCCACUUGAGCUGGGCCUCAAUAUAUGUAUAAACUCACGAAGAAAGAUAGUAAAACAAUACAUGAUACAAUAUGAGUUGACAGCUAUGAUAUAGCCCUGUAUUGUCUUAUAUUUUUGAACCUUUGUAGAAUAAUCUUUAGGUUUUCCAUGUUAAUGUAUGUGUUUGUUUUAUUUAUUUUUUUAAAUUUUUAUUUUUGUGAACAGUUGGGUGCAAACACAAUUACAGAAUCACCCUGAUGAACUUUGGGAAGAUGGGGUUCAAGAUUACCUAACUCAUGCUUCAAACAUUAUGGUAAAUAUCAACAACUCUCAACCAAUUUAAAAGAUCAUUUUUAUCUCUAGUAUAACUCUUACCUAAUUUAAAACAUCAUUUUUAUCUCUAGUAUAACAUAAUUACUUGAAUAUAAAAAUGGUUUCACUGUCCUGUUGAGAAGUUAACUGAUUUCAUUAGUAUUUAAUGAUUUCUGUACAUGCACAUAUAUGCAUAUAUGCAACUGAGUUCCAGUAUUGUUUCUUUUAUAAGUAUCUUUUAUUUUGAAUUAUAAAUAAAUUUAUCUUCAUUAAGAGAAUUGCAUGAAGUCUACAUCUCCAGUUCCAGUUUCUGUUAUUUCCUUUUUGCAAUUAAUGAUUAUUUGCAUAGGCUGUAAAGUCUCUUUCCAAUAAAUGGCAUGGUUUCCAUUCAUGUAGGUGUUAAUUGAAUAUCUAGUCAUUUGUCCUUUGGCCACUUCUUCCAUCCAGCACCUGAAAAUGAAUAGAUGGAAUAGAUUUCAUAUUGUGUUAAUUUACUAUGUCUUUGCACCAUAAGGCAGAAUUUGGUUGUAGCAACAUGGACAGAGACCCGUCUUCAACAACACCACUCAUCAAAUUUCUUUUAGGGUUUGUUGACGAGUGGUUGUGGGCCUGUGAUUUAGAAUAUGACUUGAAAUGCUUCAGAAACUGAGAUUUCUUUUCCAGUAUAUGGUGUAAAUACUUUCCAUAUAAUCAGUGGCCAUUAAUCAUGGAUUUUUAACUCAUAUUUCAUUUCACAAAAUGAAUGGGGUUGGAGUUUGAUUCCUGUAAAUGCAUGACAAAAUGCUUUAUUUACUUUUUUUCCCCAACUUCUGCCUCUGUCACAGGAGAAAUUUAGUGAUGUUGUCAACUGGAUCAAAGCAAAUGCUGUUAAAGGAGAAAGUUUGUCUGCAUUGGGAACUGCUGAAAAAAAGCUGGUGCCUGAAACAAAUAAUAUAGGGGGGAAAUUAUUUCAGGAGAAAACUAGUUUUGCCCCGGCCAAUACUACUUCAAUCUUCACAGCUUCUUGGAGUUCUGGAGCGCUCCCCAGCAGCAAAACCCCUAUCUUUUUUGGUAGGUCUUUUUUGGGCAACUUUGAGCUCAUGUUUUUAGUAUUGUAUAAUCAAAGAUAACGUGUUAUUUGCUUCACUUUCUAUGAAAAUGACCUUUGAGAACGAUCAACCUAUGCCUACUGAUGUUACUGCCUUUUCAUUCUAUGACCACAUGCAAAAUAAAAAAUGGACCCCUGCUCCAGCAAGUUCAAUCUUAACUUUUUCAUGAAACGUGUUAAAAAAUUGUUUUAUCAUUUAAAGCUUCUUAAUAUUUUCAUCUUGCUUAUCUAAUGACGUUAAAAUCCUAUUUUUGAACUUUUUAUGAAGUUUUCAUCUAUAUAUAGAUAGAUAUCACAGGGAAAUUUUGGCAUGACUUAGUAGUUGGGUAGUUUGAUAUUACAGGGAACAUAUUCAUCUAUGGUUUGAUUGUUCAAAGUUCAAAAACAUUGUUUUGGUGUCUAAAUAGGUGUUUUACAGUUAUUGAUGUUUGGCAAACUUAGUGGUUGGGUAGUGUGAUAUCACCGGGAAGUAACUUUCAUCUAUGGUUUGGUUAUUCAAAGUCCAAAAACAUUGUUUUGGUGUCUAAAUAGGUGCUUUACAGUUAUAUCAUAAGAUAAGCCUAAUAUUUAGUGUCUAAAUGGGCGAAUUGAAGGAAGAUUAUAUGAUAAAACCUUGGAGGUAGAGAUAGGCGGCACCAUGGGUUAAUAUGACUUGAAUUUUUAUUGGCUCUUAGGUCUACCACAUUCAAAAUUUCAUAAUACCCAAGGUCAAUCCCACACUUGAGCUUAUCGUACAUAGUGACUAAUCUUUUUUAUUUUAUUGAUGAACAAAAAUUUGAAUGGAAGGCUCCUAUCAAAAAGGAGAUGCACCCUACCUACAUACACAUGGCGUCCACAAGAGACUUAGGAACAGGAAAACCAAUCUCCUCACAAAGGAACAACAGAGCCAAAACUGGCUAUCCAUAGUUUAGACGAUCAAUGAUCUCUAACAAUGUAUUGUUUUCCAUUUUUAACAGAACUCUAGACCAUUCCUAAAGGGAUCUAAUGAAAAUCUUGUUUAGCUUUUGGUCUGAAUGCACUUUAUUUAAAAUUUUUGAUCAUUAUACUCUUUUUAGAUGUGCCAAAACAAACAAAAGAUAGCCAAUUGCCAAACCUUCUUCUACCACUUGUCUAACAAUCAAAUUGUCCAACCUAAUAAAAGGUCUUUGACUUAGAUAGGAAAGACCUUAUGUAGUCAAAAAAUUACAAGCAACACAUCCUACAAUUCUCUAGUUCUACUGUAGUGAAUUAGGAUGUGAUUAACUGAUUUUUCACUUAAGGCUAUGCCUGCUGAUCAGUGUCCCACCCUCUCCUCAUAAGAUGAUUGAUGCUUAAGAUUUAUGAGUUCAAAAAACUAAUGCACUUCCUCGUUUCACAAUGUUGGUAGGGCCUUCAAAAAUGAAUGAACCAACGGUUUCCAUCCACUUUUGUCUCCCACAAAUGUGUCACUUUUAACAUUUCUGAAAUUUCUUGAGGUCUCAUUAAGACCUUCUAGGCACUUAAAACUAUUGAAGUUUUGAGGGUGAAUUCUUCCCAUCCCCUUUUAAUGUCUUUCCAUAAAACCUCUCCCACGUCUUUAAUGCACCAUCCAUCAUUCCAGGUGGUGGGGUGAGGCAGGUGGAUGGGGCUAGGUGAGUGCCCUCUUUUGGUUCCAAGUGGCUCCACCUCUACUCAUGAGUAUAUCUCCAUAUUGAGUUGCUUUUUUGCAUUAUAUAGAAUAUCCAACUAUCUAUUUCUCAACCCUCCAUUUCUAUUAUCCUUGCAAAACAUCACUUACUUCCUAAGAUGCAUUUCCUCUUAAGGGAUUUUGCUAUUAGAAAUCUCUCUACAACCUUUCCAAUUUUAUCUUCAUUUUUCUAAGAAUUACAAAUAAAAACUUAAAAUAAAUUGGGAGGCUUGAAAGUUGCUCUAAAUUAGGGAUAGUCUCCUCCUUUCAACAAAUACUGCUUCUUCCAAGAGGUUAAUAUCUUUUAAAUAUUUCCUUAACCAAAUCCCAUCUAGCACAAGAUCUAUGAGACAGUGCUAUAGUGUGUGGAGGCAAACUAAGGUGUGUAAAACAAAGACAACCAACCUUAUAACCAAACAUGCAUCCUAAUCCAAUUAGUCUCUAUCUCACCAACAUGAACGAAUUCACUCUUCUAUAAAUUGAUUUUCAAACUUGACACUAGUUCAAAACAUAUUAGCACCUGCUUCUGGUUCCUCAAAUUAGCUUCAUGAUAUAGUGAAGUGUUAUUUGCUAAUAAUAGGUGAGAGAAAUCCAUCCACUCUCCCUCUUUUCUUGUUCCCUUCUUUUUGAUAGGCAAAGAUAAAUUUAUUAAGUGCCUAAAGUUCUAAAAAAGGGGCUUAACCCACCUACUUAGGAAGUAUACAAAGAGCAUUCGAAGGCAAAAAGAAAAAGAACAAACCAACCCUUGGUGUGAACAAUAGUCCCAUUAGUCAGUGAAAUCUUACAUAGAUAAAUAUCUUGUAUUAAAUGAAUUUCUAUACUAAAGGAGAAAUACACAUAUGAAAGAAGUUUUUCUCCUGCAUGAAUUGUUCGCUCCUACAAUUUUGCUCCUGCAAAUAAUUUGAAACAAAUAGAGUGGCACAAACCUCCACAUCUUUCUCCGCAUUUUGCCCACAAAACUCAUUCCAACUGAUAAGGUAUCUCUCACUUGAGAAGGAUUCACCCAAGCGGUACCCAAAAGAGAGAAUAAAAUGCCAAAGACUCCUUGUUGUUUAACAAUGUAAAAGAAUAUGAUUAGGUAAUUCUUAUACACUUUUGCAAAGGAUGCAUCGUUUACCAAAGGCCAAUCUUUUCUUUUUAGCUGAUCUAAAGUAAGAUUCUUACUUCAAAAUGCUUCCUAUGCGACAAAACCCACUUUUAUGGGUACCAACGAAACCCGACCUCUUUUAUAGGAAAGAUAACACCAUCUUCAAGCCCAAAGAGGAAUAAAAAGAUUUAACUAAGAACUUACCAUCCUUGGAGCCUCUCCAAACUAAGUUGUCCUUACAAUUCAUUGGCACCCCUUCCUCUUGAAGCCUCGAAAAGAGACUCUACACCUUUUCAACUCCCAUUCAUGAAAUUAUCAAAAUAAGUGAAUGUUCUAAUGACCCCUCUCACCCAUCACCUCCUGAACAUCCACAACCCAAGCAUUGUUUGAUGAAGCUAGGGAAUACAAUGUGGGCAAAAAUACACAUAAUGGUUAUUCACACAGUAAUCACCUGUCCAAAAUUUAACACUUCUGCCAUCUCCAAUCUUAAAGCUUGAUCUUGCUUGACUUAUUAAAAAAAAGGCUUGAUGUUGCUUUAAAAUCCUCCCAUUCUCUCCUAAUAGCUUGCUAUGUCCCUACCACCUCUCUUUACCACCUUAAAUCCACUAAUUUAAUCCCCUUCUCUUGAUUUUGAGGUGAAACAACUAAGACCUUCUGUAACCAACACAAAAGGAUAAGGAGGAGGGUCCCUAGCUGUAAGCCUUUGAAGCUUUAGAAAAACUCUACAGGGGUACCAUUGACUAAAAUCGGAAAGCUUGCUGUAGAUAUGCAGAAAUGCAUUCAUCUCAACCAUUUUUGCCUAAAACCCAUUUUUUCCUUGAUUGAAAGGAGAAAUUUCUAUUUCAUGUGAUUAUAGGCUUUUUCUAUAUUGAGCUUACACACUAAGCACUAGAGCAUUUUCUCCUGUAGUUUAUAGCUUUAGCAAUCAACAUCAUUCCAAAAUCUCCCCACAAUUGCAUUAUGGAUGUGACACCACCUUUCCAACCACCCUUUUCAAUCUAUUUGCAAAGACUUUUUCUAAAAGCUUAUAGAGACCCCAACAAAACUGAUUGACCUAAAAUCCUUAAUAUCUUUUGCUCCACUGUUUUUAGGAAUAAGCACUAAGUGGAGCUCCUUGGAAAACUUCAUCCCAUACCCUCUUAUUGUUGAUCAACAAGAUUGCCAAAAAGUCAUUGACAAACCAUUAGGUGAAGCGCUUUUUCUACCCUAUCAUCUAAAACCUAACCAUGAAUUCCUCUUCUCUAAAUGAAGAUCCCAACCCUCAUCUAUCCAUUCUGUUGAUGCAUUUGAAGAAUGUUCCUUCUAGAUUGAAUCUCCUAAUUUGUGAAUUCUCAAGUAGAGACUAAGGGGAAAAAAAAAGGAAGAAACACCACCUUAAUUCUGCUAAUAAAGUUGCCUCUUCUACAAACAUUAGCCAUUUGAUGUAAAGCCCUCGAUUUAAGAAUGCUCCUUCUAAUUAUAUCCCCUUUGGGAUAAGCAGUGGCUAAGUUUAGAUGAGCGAGAGAGCGAGAGAGAGGGUUAGUGUGAGAGAGGGUGAGAGCGAUGGAAGGGAGCGAGGUGAGCGGCGAGCUCCAGAAGGGCUAGAGGGCGAAACAAGGUUAGAUGCAGAAGGCGACGGUUUCGUGGGGGUUAGGAGCAGGGCCAAAAAGGGAAGUUUUGGAGUGGAGUCGAAAUGGUUUGAUGUAAAGGUGAGGGAGCAGAAAGGCAAGGUACAAGCCUCGAUCAUAGAAAGGAAAGGAGGAGUCUCCUCGUGGAUCAGGUUGGGACCAAAUAGCAUUGGGUGCUUCAUUGAUGGUUUGGAGUCUUGUAUUGAGAACGCAAGAUCUGGAACCUGGGAAAGGAAGUGGAAGGACAGUGGGAGGUCCUAUCUUAUGGUGCGGGAUCAAAAUAAGGGGGGGGGUUGUUCAUACGGUUAGGGGUUACAGAUUUGGAAAAUAAAAGGUUUAACAUUUAUAUCCCAAAGGGCAGUGGAGACAAGAGUGGCUGGGUGUUAAUGGCGGAGAUACUACGCCGUCUGGGGUGUUAUGUCCGAGAAGAGAGCUUACAAAAAAAGGGCGCGAUGUUGCUGAGGCCAGCAAUGGGGAAAACCUAUGCGGAAGUAGCGAUGCAGUCAAAAGGAAGAGAGACCACAGUGGUGAGGGUGGAGCUAUGCAAGAGGGAGUUGAGCCGGAAUAUGGAGAGGCUGGUUCACUGCUUGGUGGGGAGCUGGAACCCUAGCUCUGGGAAAGGGGACGACCUAAGAGGUUGGGGGACAAACUUGGCGAAAUUUUGGAGUUUGAAGGGUAACUUAGGAAUAGCAAAGCUAGAAAGGGGCAAAGUCCUAUUAGAAUUUGAGGUUCUGGCUGAAGCAGAGAAAGCCCUUAAAAUUGGGGGUUUCUCGUGCGCGGGGUCUCCUCUCAGUCUGGAAAAAUGGAGGCCUGAGAGGAGGUGUCUGCUGGAGGGGGAAAAGAGGAGUGAGGCUUGGGUGCGUAUCGUGGGACUACCAGUCUCACUAUGGGAGCGGGAUAUUUUGAGGAGAAUAGGGGAUGCCUGUGGGGGGUUCCUCGAUAUCGACUCUCAGACGGAGACGUUGGAAGAUUUGCAGUGGGCAAGGAUCUUGGUGAAGCUCAACGAGGAAAGGCCUCCCAACGUAGUGGAAGUCUGGACCAAAGAGUUUUGCUAUGAGCUCACUCUUUGGUGGGAAAUCAGACCUGCUGUGAGAAUGGCAAGGGAAAGAAAGGGCAAAAACAAGCUUGUCUCAGAAGACGAGGUUGGGGGUGAAGUCACUGCACGCGCGGGAGGGCGCGUGAGGGGGUUGGUAGGUGGUCCAAGUCUCGAGGUCCGGCUGCAGUCUGACGAUGGGACGUGGGGGCAGUCCUCUGGGUCGGGUCCGGCUGCGGAUCCGGAUUCGGGCUUGGUGUUGGACGGGCCCCACGAAUCGUGUGGGUUGACAUCGCAGUGGGCCCUUGGGCCUUCUGAGGCCUCUGGGCCCUUCCCGCCCACGGCCUCUCCUCGCGAGGCUGGGCCGUCUCAUCUUGGGCUGACACUUGAUUAUGGGCGGGCCUCGAAGAAGCUGAUCGGAGGGGCUGGGCUGGGAGGUCGAGGCCCGAACUCGUCUCUGGACUUUAACAUGGACGACACCCAUCUGAGGGGGGCCCGUUCCUUAAAUGGGUUAGGCCCAAGCUCUGUGGGGGACCUUGACCAGUCCCGGUCAUCUCUAUUGGUGAUGGAUGGACUGUGGAGGCCUUUGGCUGAGAAGCAAAGCUUGGAGGAGAACUCAAAGACAGAUGACGCUCUAAUGGAGGGAGCCUUGAGGUAUGGGAAUGCCUCUAACUUCUUUGGGCCGUUGGUGUGUGUUUCUCCUUCUCCUCCUUCUUCUUUUUCUGGUCGGACUCCACCGAGGGAGUAUUACGACCGUUCUGGGGCGGUUUUGGACGCAUCCCAGAGGGAAUUUCUGGACCGGAGGAUGAUUGGAAGGAUGUCUUCAGCGCUGAAGACUGUGGAUCGCUGGGAGCUAUUGGAAGAUAAUAAUGGCGCGAUGGAAACCAGUGGAAAGGAACUUUGUCUUGCUGGUGAGUCGGUUCCAGAAGUCAGGGAUUGGAGGGAGGCCAGCUGGGAGAAAGUGAGUUGGCAAGGUUCAGUCAGUUCUUGGGGUUUUCAAUAGUGGGAUUAGAGAAGGAUAUUUUGGAUUUCAUGGUCAAAAUCAGAAAAAGAAGGGAAAAAGUGCACAGCAAAUCUCUUUUAGAAAAUUCAAAAUUUGAGAGGGAACUGAAGAGACUUGAAUGUUCCAUCAAUUAUGAAGAUGGGAGGAAACAGAAAGGUAUUGUGCAAGGAAGAAGGGGCCAAUCUCCUGCUGUCUUAUGAAGUUAAGGUUGGUGAGUUGGAAUGUUCGGGGAGCUAAUGAUAGCUCCAAAAGGAAAGUGAUCAAGGCCAUGAUCAGGAGUCAAAGGGCGGAUUUAGUUUGUAUACAGGAGACGAAAAUUCAGACUAUGACAGAGGGGGUGGUGAGGAGUCUGGGUUCUGGGAGGUUUCUCGAUUGGGGAGCUAUGGGAGCCCAAGGCUCAGCGGGUGGCAUUUUGGUUUGCUGGGAUAAAAGAUCUUUGGAGCUGUUGGAGAUGGAGGUGGGUAAUUUCUCUAUAUCGUGUAGGUUGAAGAAUGUUGAGGAUGGAUUGGUUUGGAUCUUUACUGGAGUUUAUGGGUCGUGUAACAGGAAAGAGAGGGAGGCUUUGUGGGAGGAGUUAGGAGCGAUAAGGGGAAUAUGGGACGAGCCUUGGUGCUUAGGAGGGGACUUUAAUGUCACUUUAUCUCAAAGAGAUAGGAGCAGGCAGGGUAGUCUUAAUGGAGCAAUGCGUAGGUUUGCUCAAGUGGUGGAUGAUCUUGCCCUCAUUGAUCUCCCUUUGAGCAACCAGACUUGCCCUCAUUGCAGGGGGGUGUGUUUUCUUGGAGCGGGGGCAGGAGCAACCAGACUUGGGCUAGAUUGGAUCGCUUCCUGGUAACCCAGUGUUGGCUAGAUAUUUUUAGGGGGGCUGUUCAGUGUAGGCUUCCUAGGCCUACCUCUGACCACUUCCCCAUAUUGUUGAAGGGGGGCAGGAUGAGCCGGGGACCUUCUCCGUUCAGGUUUGAAAACAUGUGGCUCAAGGUGGAUGGGUUUAAGGAGCUCCUUCGGGAAUGGUGGCAGGGAGGGGCAAGAUGAGGAAGGGCUAGUUUUAGAAUGGCUGCUAAAAUGAAGGAGAUGAAGGAGAAAAUUAAAGUGUGGAACCGGGAUGUUUUUGGUAGAGUGGAAGUGAACAAAAGAUCAACCCUUCAGCAAAUUGAAUUUUGGGACAGGGUGGAAAGUGGUAGGGACCUAUCAGAAAGAGAAAUGGAUCUGAAAAAUGAAGCUAAGGAGAACUUCAAAAAGUGGGUUCUUUUGGAAGAAGUCCAUUGGAGACAAGUGUCUAGGGAGUUGUGGCUUAGAGAAGGGGAUAAGAAUAUAGGGUUUUUUCACAAGAUGGCUAAUGCCCAUUGGAGAAAUAACUUUUUGGACAGAAUUAAAAUAAAUGGGGUGGAAUUGGUUGAGAAGCAGGAGGUGAGGGAGGGGAUUGUGAAGGCCUUUCAGCACCAGCUAAGGGAAGACCCAAGGUGGAGAGCCGACUUAGAGGGUUUGCAUCUUAAAAGUCUUGACCUUAGUGAAGCUGAAGCUUUGGAGGUCCCCUUUUCUGAAGAAGAAAUAUUCUCUGCUUUGAGGGAUAUGAACGGCGAUAAGGUCCCAGGCCCGGAUGGGUUUACCGUGGCCUUUUGGAAAGCUUGUUGGAACUUCGUUAAGGAGGAGGUAGUAGAGCUGUUCAAGGAAUUUUACGAUCAGAAGUCUUUUGCCAAAAGUCUGAAUUCUACAUUCUUGGUCAUCAUUCCAAAAAAAGGUGGGGCUGAGGAUCUAGGGGAGUUUCAAAGUGCUAAGGGGGUUGUACAAGCUUAUGGCCAAAGUGUUGGCCAAUAGGUUGAAAAUGGUGUUAGAUAAGGUGGUUUCGGCUGAUCAGAACGCGUUUGUGAGGGGGAGACAAGUUCUAGACGCCUCUCUUAUAGCUAAUGAGGUGGUUGACUAUUGGUAGAAGAGGAAAGAGAAGGGGCUGGUGUGUAAAUUGGAUAUUGAGAAAGCCUACGACAACAUCAGCUAGAGCUUCCUUAUGAAGGUCUUGAAAAAGAUGGGCUUUGGGUCGCGCUGGAUGGAAUGGAUGUGGUGGUGCUUUUCAACGGCAAAAUUUUCUGUCCUUAUUAACGAGGUACCAGAAGGCUUCUUCUCCAGCUCUAAGGGUCUGCGUCAAGGAGACCCAAUUUCUCCUUAUCUUUUUAUCUUGGGCAUGGAAGUGCUGAGUGCACUCAUUAGGCGGGCAGUGCAGGGGAACUUCAUUUCUGGCUGUAGGCUAAGAGGUAGAGGGGAUGCGGAGAUUAUGGUGUCUCAUCUGCUCUUUGCAGACGAUACUAUUCUCUUCUGCAAGGCUAGUAAGGAUCAAUUAACUCAUCUUGGAUGGAUUUUGGCGUGGUUUGAGGCGGCUUCUAGGCUUAGGAUCAAUCUGGCCAAGAGUGAGCUUAUUCCAGUUGGGGAGAUUGAUAAUAUUGAGGAAAUGGCAGCGGAAUUAGGCUGCAGAAUUGGAAGCUUUCCGGUUAAAUAUUUGGGGUUGUCCCUUGGGGCCCGGCACAAGGCCUUGUCCACGUGGGACGGGAUGGAGGAAAGAAUGAGGAGAAGACUCGCCCUUUGGAAAAGACAAUACUUGUCUAAGGGCGGGAGAAUCACCCUUAUUAAGAGUACCUUGGCCAGCAUUCCCAUCUAUCAAAUGUCCAUCUUUAGAAUGCCUAAGUCAGUGGUUAAAAGGCUUGAGAAAUUACAAAGAGAUUUUCUUUGGGAAGGGGGAAGCACGGAUAGGAAAAUCCAUUUAAUUAAUUGGAAGGUGGUGUGUACUCAAAAGGAGAAGGGGGGUCUUGGUAUUAGGAGGAUGGGGUUACUGAACAAGGCCUUAUUGGGCAAGUGGAUUUGGAGAUUUGUCGUUGAAAAGGACGUCUUGUGGAAGAAGGUGAUCGGGGUGAAGCAUGGGUUGGAGGGUUGUGGUUGGAAAUCUAAGGAAGUUCAGGGGCCCUUUGGAGUGGGAGUUUGGAAGGAGAUUUUGAAGGAGAUGAGCUGGUGUUGGAAUAACAUGAAGUUCAAGGUGGGGAGGGGGUCUAAGAUUAUGUUUUGGACUGAUCAUUGGUGCGGCAACAAAGCGUUGUCCCAAGCGUUUCCCCAGAUUUUUGCCUUGGCAAUGUGCAGUAAUGAAUUGGUGAAUGAUGUGUGGGACCCAAGGCUUGGCCAAGGAGGGUGGAAUCUCAGAUUGGCUAGAGAUUCUAACGAUUGGGAGCUGGUGUUAAUAGAAGACUUGCUCUUCUUGCUAAGAGACAUCAAGGUAACCCUAGAGGAGGACUCAGUGCUUUGGAAAGGAGGGGAUUCUGCCAGUUUUCGGAUUCGGGUGGCUUACAAUCUGCUGGCAACCCCUAAUCCUCUCGUUUUUCCAGGAAAAAAUAUUUGGGUGGAUAAGGUCCCAACCAAAGUGGCUUUUUUUGCGUGGGAGGCUACUUGGGAAAAAAUCCUCACGUUGGAUAGGCUGCAAAAGCGUGGGUGGCAGCUCCCAAAUUGUUGUUUUUUGUGUAGUUGUGAAGAGGAAAAUGUAAAUCACAUUCUUUUACACUGUACAGUGGUUAGGGCCCUAUGAGAAAUCGCCUUUGCCUUAUUUGGGGUUUAGUGGGUGUUUCCAGAGAAGGUCAAAGAGGCGUUGUUAUGUUGGCGGGGCCCUUUCGUGGGUAAAAAAAGAAAGAAGAUAUGGAAGACCAUUUUGUUAUGUAUUUUUUGGACGGUAUGGAAGGAAAGAAAUAGGUUAGCUUUUAGAGGGGGUUUUUUGGCUAUUCAGACUCUUAAGAAUUCUUUUGUAUGUAGUCUGUGGAGUUGGACUAAGUUGUAUAGGGGAGAGGAGUCCUCUUCACUUUUAGGCUUCUUAGAGUGGGUAACGGUCCCCUAAGGGCUGGUGAGGUGUUCCUGUUUUUGUUUUUUUGGCCUUGUGGCUGCUUUGUAUACUUCUUGUAUGUGGUGCGGCCUUUCGGCCUUCUUUAAUAUAUAUUCUGCUCUCGCUUAUCAAAAAAAAAAAAAAAAUGCUUCUUCUAGAUUGGGUCUUUGUGAAUUCUUAAGCAGAGACCGGAAAAAGGAAGAAAUGUCAUCUCAAUUCUGCUAAUAAAGUUGUUUCAGCUACAAGCAUUGGCCAUUUGAUGAAAAAACCCUCGACUUUUGUCUCUACAAAGUUUCUUUCAAAAUGGUUAAAUGGUUAGAUUCUUGCUUUACCAAUCUUUGGUUCUCCUUGUCCUCCUCUGCUGCAGACCUUUCUCUCUCUUAAUGUAACAUCAUUUUAUUUUGUUCAAGCCAUCACUCUACAGAGCGACACAUGGCCAAACACCUCUUUGUUCCAUCUUUUUAAAUCCAACAUUAAUUCUUUGGCAAGCACAAAACUAAGGUUGCCCUUAAUCUCAUAAUCCUGCCACCGAGAUUUGAUCAAAUUUUUGAAACCCUCCACUUUCAACCAGAUAGUUUUAAAUCUCAAAGAAAUCUUUCCUUUUCUAAACCACCUCUCAAUGUAUAAUGACCUCCUAAGGAUGAUCUACCAACUCAACCUCCUUAAUGAGUGGUGUUAAACUUACAUAUUGUCAAUGAACUUAAAUUUAAUGCAUAUUAAUUUUAUGAAAAAUAUUUGUUUCACAUGAAGAAAUAUUUAUUUUUCUUUGGAUGGAGUUUUUUAAAGAUAUUUAUGAGUUUCUACCAUAUGUGCAACAAUCUUGAAAUCCAAUCACACAUGUCAUUACUCAUACUCAGAUAAUUAAAAAAGUAGAAUAUAUAUAUAUGUAUGUGUGUGUGUGUGUGUGUAGGAAUUCAAAAGGCAUAACUAGAAUCCUUGUGAAUGUCAUUUCUUAUUUAAAAAGAGUUUCAGUAAGAAUUUAUCAUUUAUAUAAUAAUCUACAAGAUAGAAAUAAACUUAAGAAACACUGUCACUUCCAUCAUUUUUGGGCUUGGCCUGAAUGAACACAAAGCCUCACUUUCUAUCGGGUGAAAUGUUGGCACAUUUAGUCAUUCCCUUCAGUUCUUUCAAUUUUUGUGAAUUUUUGCAUAUGUGAUGUUUAACUCUUGCCUUUUUUGAGAUUUAACCUUUGUGCUUGCUCGCUUUGUUUCCCUGAAGAAACAUUUUUUACUCUUCAUUUCUUUUUUAGGCUGAGAAGAGAAAUAUAAUCAUCAGUUAAUGUCCUAGAUUUCAUCAUUUACAUUUUUUCUGCAGUAGCCUGAAACAAAGCACUGAUUAAUCCAAUACCAUCAUAUUCUACCCCUGCUGGAAUAAUUAAUGUUGAUUGAAAUGGAAUCGAUGACUACUCCAGGAGAAAAACUGCUUUAAGCAUCUCAAGGUUUGAAUGUCUUGUAAAAAAAAAAAAUUGUUUAGAAGACAAAAAUAUUCUAACCUACAUGGUAAAGUAAAAAACCAUGUUAACUAUCCAGAAAUUUUGUUAGGUGGCCUUCCUUUGACCCAUUUUAGGGUUAACUUACUAUUUUGAUGCUUAAAAAUAAUUACCAUUGUAGCUUUAAAAAUGAUAUUGUUGGUAUAAAAUAUAUUUUGUUAAUCAAUUCAAUUAUUGUUUUCUAAAUGUUAUUUUUUAGUGCAUGAUAAUAAUGCGUAUCAUUUUACUAUUAUUCAAAUAAUUUAUCAUGGAGAAUAUCACGUUUAAAGUAGACAAUAAUUUAGACUGGAAUGAUGUUCAAGCUAUAAAUGAUCAUUUUUUUUUAAUUCUCUUACCUUAAUAGCUAUUUAUAAUAUACAUAUGUACGCGCGCGCACAAACACAUAGAGUUAGAUAUACACUUACAUGUACAUAAUGUGUUAUAUAUGCACUUACAUGUGCAUAAUGUGUUAGAAUGAACAUCCUCAUGUUGUGUAUGUAUGUGUUCUUGGGCCCCUUUUGCCUUUCAAUUUUAUCUAAAGCCAUGGCCUCUGCUUGGUCUCCUUCAACUUGAAAAAACAUGGUUCUCUCUAGUCAUGCUGUUAUCCAGCUUUGUAUAUGAAUCAUUUUCAAGGAUCUCUCAUCUUGUUGUUCGGGUGGUGCUCCCUAUAGCUUCUCAAGAAUGUAUCUCUUUUGUGUGUGUGUGUUUUAUAUUGUUGCCACCUGCCACUCAUCUUGCCUAUCAAAAAAAUAUUUUUGCCACUCAUCUUCCUCUACAUCCACAAUUUUGGGGUGAGUUGCAUGUGUCUCUAUACACAUGCUUUGAAAUUUUUUGUAUUCUGAUAGAAAUUCAUUUUUUUAGGCCAUGAAAUAAAUAGGACCCCCAUAACACAAUCCAAUACAUAAAUCUGAUCAAAUGCAAGAGUAACUAUGUGCUCUAGAAAGCAAAUGUGUAUACCAGUCUUGGUUCCUAUCAAACUUACAUUGAGUUUGAGAUCUUCUUAUCAACUCAUUAGUCUAUAUUACAUUUGCCUGGUUCCUAGUCAUAUGGUUGUUAGUCUUUCCAUGAGUUGAUUUUCUUAUUGGUAAUUGAAUUCAUUUUUAUCCUGUUCUUAUGAAAAGUUCAUAUUUUACAGAUUAUGUUGCAAAAGACUUGAUUGGAAACUUAAUUUUGUAUAGCUUUAUCUGGACAUGGAUUUACUAUGUUUUAUUGACUAUGGAAUUUGAGUGUUGAGCUGAGAUAAUGUCCUCAUAUUGCUGUCAUGAGAUUGAUGGGAAUUCUGAAACCCAGCCUUUUCAUUUUGUUGUAGGAAGCCAAAGUUCAGUCCCCAUAAGUCAUAAUGCUUCAGAGGAUGCUGAUGGUGGUGAGACAACAAAACUUCUACUAUUCUUCAUUCUUUAUUAACGGAAAUCUUUUUACACUGUUUAGUAUAAUCUUCUUUUGCAUUUUUACAUGCAUCAUCACUUGUGUUCAAUUUCAUCUCCACUAGCAGCCCAGAUAUGCCCCAUGCACCAAGUUUUUUCCAUAUAUUUUAGAAAUGCAGGAGAGUUAAUAGGAGAUUUAGGUGUGUUACCAACUAAUGAAACUUUCACAUCAUUGCCUUUCAUGUAGGUGAGAUAUUAUCCUUCAUCAAGGGUUAUGUUGGAAAGUUGUAAAUAUGGUAUGUUUGUUGCCCAAAGUAGGAAGACUGUUUCUUCUUCUGUGGUAGUCAUGUCUGAGGUCUUCUUGUUCAUCAUGGUUUUAUUUUUUGGUAUGUCUCAAAUGUGUAUGCUUGCUGCCCAAAGAAAUCGGAACAUUUUUUCUCCAGUAGCAGCUUGGAAACUUGGCAUGGUUUCUGUCCAAAAGAGUAGGAAUGCCUUUUCACUUUCUGUAGUAGUAUAGAUAGUGUUGAAUUUUUUGUAUGGAUAAUUAUUCAAAACAUGGUCAAUGCAUUUUCGAGUAAGCCAUUUAGUUUUCUUUUAGUAAAUUUUUCCCCUUCUGGGUAUUGAACUUGGAACCUCUUAACAUCCCAAACCCAAUCCCUUGGUGCUUGAACCAGGCCCCAUGGGCAGCAUGCUAGUUAGUUGAUCAUUUUAAAAUGCUGAAUCUUCUGAAGUAUGGAAGUGAGAGGCUCUAUGCUUUCAUUGAUUGGCUUAAAUUGGGUAGGUAGGUGGUUACAAAUACUACAGAUGCAUUCAACCAUUCCUUUUUUUUUUCCCUUUGUUUGCUUUUGAUUCAGGGCAUGCAUAUUCUCCUUUUGUCACCAUUUUCAUCAAUAUUGAAUUGCAUGGGGGGGCACACGCCAAUUACAAUCUAAGAAAGUGCUCUUGUUAGAUAGGAUCAGGUAAAUGAGUGUGUCAGUGGUUGUAUAUGUACAUCUGUGUUGUUUUUUCUAAUAAUUGAAUGGCACUCUCUUGCUUUUGAGGUCUCUACCUCUAGUUAUCUUCCUCAACCACUUGAUAAGUAUAUUAGAGUGGCCUACUAGUUGAAGAGCAUUUAAGCAAAUUUUGUACUUUGACUUGCCAACUACAGUGCAUUUAAAGUAAAUAAUUUUAUUUUAUUUGCAACUUUUGUUAGAACACUAUUGGAGAGAGCCUUGGUGGGAUAAUGAAUGAACAACAUGAGUUUUGAGCUUUCUGCUUUGGUUUUGACUUCUAGUAUUAAGGGGUUGUACUCACAUUUUAAACUUUUCUGGUGAAGAAAUCCUCUUAUGACCAAGAACUAAAAACUGAAAUUGAACUUGAAUUUCAGCUGGAACUUUAGGAAAAGUUUGGGAGUCUUCAUGGAGCAUCUGUAUACAGAUACUGUCCAUUUUUCUCAUUUUAGUUAACUUCAGUUCUACAAGCACCUUACAUUAAUAUGCUUGCAUUUAGAACUUCAGAAUUUUUAUCUUCUCCUAUUCUAACAAGUACUUCUCCCACGUGUAAGGGUUCAGUGCACCUAUAAGAUUUUUUCUUUUUCUCCUCUAAAAUCCUUGCAAAAGAUCUUUGUCAUUUGAAAUAUCCAGUUGAAAAUUGAGGGCUUUGGGGAUUUGGUUAACUCUUGAUGGCAAAACAGUGAUGUCAAGGGUUGUCCAAGCUUUGUGCUGGUCUAAAAAAUUGAGAGCUUUAAAAGAAGACUUAAAAUGUUGGAACAAGAAGAUUGUUGGUAAUGUGUCUUUGUGAAAAGAGGCAGUAUUGGAAGAGAUCACAUUUUAUGGCAUUAAAGAGAGGGAAAGGGCUUUGUUUGAGGGGGAGAAGGAGAAUCAAAGGGUGUUUAGGGAUGAGUAUAAUCUCCUUGUGAUUUUGGAAGAAAUCUCUUGGAGACAAAAAUCAAGAGCUUUAUUGCUUAAGAAAGGAGAUAAGAAUACAAAGUUCUUUCAUCAAAUGGCUGAUGUGCAUUGGCGAGGAAACUUUAUUAGCCAAAUAAAGGUGAACUAGUUGUGGUUAAGCAAAGACAAAAAGUUAAAAAGUUGUUCUUUCAAUUUUUAUUUGAAGAUCCUUAGUUUAGGAGAUUAGAUAUUGAGGGAUAUUUUUUCAAUUCCAUCAAUAGGGUGGAUAGAGAAGGGCUUGAAAAACCUUUUGGCAUAGUGGAGGUGUUGGUUGCUUUUUUACAUUUAGGGGGAGAUGCAACACCUAGCCUUGAUGGGUUUUUAACGAUGUUGUGGUCGAAGUGUUUGGCUACUAUUAGGAAGGAGGAAUGGAGUUUGUUAGGGAAUUUCAUGUGAAUGGCUCUUUUGAAAAAAGUCAUGAUGCUACUUUUUUUAACACUUCUUUCUAGAAAGGGAUUUAGGUCUAUCACUUUGGUGAAGAGGCCUUACAAGAUCUAUGCAAAGGUUUUAGUAAAUAGGCUUAAGAACCUAAUAAUAGGUAGGAUGGUAUCAGAGUCUCAAAAUACUUUUUGGAAGGUAGGCAAAUUUUUUUAUUCUUUUUCGAUAGCUAAUGAGGCUAUUGGCUAUGGAACAAAGAAUUCUUAAAUGGCCCAAGUGUGCAAAUUUGACAUAAUGAAAUCCUAUGAUCAUGUAAACUAGAAAUUCCUUCUUUUAAUAGUGGAGAAAAUGGGAUUUGAGCAAACAAAGGGUAGAAUGGAUAAAAAAAAAUUCUAUGGUACAAUUAUCAAUUUUGAUGGACAAUGAGGCUUAACUCUAGAACAAGGAGUUCUUUAGUAGUCUUAGUGUGCGAAUUGGAGAUAAAGAAAGCCUAUGAUCAUGUUAGCUAGAAAUCUAUCCUUUCAAUAAUGGAAAAAAUGGGAUUUGAGCAAAACAUGGGUGGAACAGAUAAAAUUUUGCAUUUAUUCUAAUGAGAUUUUCAAUUUUGGUGAAUGAAACACCUACAGGUUUCUUCUAGUCUUCCAAGUGAUUAGGUUAGGUGGUCCACUCUUUCAUUAUCUUUUUGUUUUGGUUGUGAAGAUUCAUAGUUGUUUCAUUUCAAUGGUGUUCACAAAAGGGAUUUAUCAAUGGGUUCAAGGUUAGGAUAGGGGAGAGAAAAGGAUGGAAUUUCCUAUCUCUUCUUUGCAUGUGAUAUUUUUCUUUUCUAUGAGACUAGUGAGGAUCAAUUGAGACUCAUAUUGUGAAAGGCAUGACCACUCCUUAGCUUGCUAAUACGUGUGCCUUGUUGGAGAAGCACACCUAAUCUACUUUACUUUUCUUCCUUUUUAAAACACUUUUAUUCUUGAAAUUUCUAACAGCAUAUUGAAAUGUAUACAAUUUAAUUACUUUUUUUGUUUAAUGGCUCUUUUAAAUGUUUGGAAUCUUAAAUUUUUCAUUGAUUGGAUUGGAUUGCAGAUCAUAUUUGAUAUUGAUCAUAAGUAGUAUUUCAUUUCACUUAGGCACACACCUUCUAUUGCUCCUUAUGCCUAAGCCAUAGGAGCCUGCACCUUAGGUGCACCUUGCGCUUUUUAAAACCAUGUUAAGACAUUUGAGAUUUGAUAGGAGGUUGUAUAAGUUCUUGGCUAAAGUUUUGGCUAAUUGACUCAAAAAGGUGGUGGACAAGUACACAAAGAAGCUUUUGUGGAUGGCAGACAAAUCUUAAAUGCAAUCGUAAUUGAAAUGAGGCAUUAGAUUCAAUGCUCAAUAGCACCAAUAGCAGGAUCAUUUGUAAGUUGGACAUUGAAAGACAAGGUGUGGUGAAAGUUCUUUGGAAAAGCCAUUGAUAAAAACUCUUGGAUAGCAAAUGUGGGAGCAGGUUAGGGAGGGGGCCGAUGGAGCCUCCACUAUCACAGACAGUUCCAUCAUUGGUUAUUGGAAAGAGUGGAGGUCUUUUUCUAGAGGCUGCAAAAAUUUUAAUUUGAAGGAAUGAACAGGACAGGUUGGGUUGGAAUGAAACCAAGGCAAGCAAGUUCUCUGUCAAAUCUUUUUAUGCUUCCUUAGAUCAGAAAGGAACUGAGUCACCACAAGCACAGUAUGAAAUCCGUUGGUGCCAACGAAGGUGGGUUUCUUUUCUUGGGAAGCUAUUCAACUCUUGAUCAACUUAGAAGGGAGGGGUUGAAGUAUUCUGAAUAGGUGCUUCAUGAGUAAAUGGGAUGAUGAAUUAGUUGAUCACUUCUCUAAUGCUCCAAAGUAAUUGUUGAAUAUAAUGUAUGUAUAGUAUACUAUCUUUCCUUGUUAAUAUAGGUCACAUGUAUGGUAGUUAGGACUCCUAGCCUUGUAUAUAUAUAUCUCUCAAUUGUAAGUAGAGAUUACAAUGAAUGAAUAAGGUUUUUCUCCUCUCUCUCUCUCUCUCAACAUGGUAUCAGAGCCAAAGGAGAAAACCUAAUUUUUUUUUCGGUUUAGUCGUGUACUCAAUUCCGGCGAACCGUCCCGUGACCGUGUUUUCACUCCGGUCCCCUCACUCUCUUUCCGAACCACCCCGGACAACCUCAUCGCCGUCGGAUCUCCAUCACGCCGGCAACCUUUUCCGGCGACAUUUUCCGGCGACCUUUUUUCCGGGAAACGACCACAUAUUCCGAACCGCCGGAGGCUGAUCUACACGCCAGUGGAAACCCCACCGGCAACCGGCAUCUCACGCGCCCCCACGCGCCUCCCUUCUCCUCCGGCCUGUCACCCACGCGCCGGCGCGUGACGGCGCGUGGCCCACUUUCCGGCCACUUCCGACACCUCUCCAGGCUCGUCCGGCGCCGUCUUGGCCUUCUAGCCCUCCGGCAGUCCUCCCCGAGCCCUGCAUCUCCAUUUUUUCCCUGGUUUUGGCCUUCUUGCCAUUCCGGCCACCUCCGACAGGGCUCCCCCUCCAUCCCCGAGGCUUGGGUGCUGCUUCUCUUCCUCUCCAGGCACGUCACGACCUUUUUUCUCCAUUGAUUGCACCUCUCACAGCCGUGGUUUCACUGUUUUUCUCUCUCCGCCUAAAUCUGAACCCAUCUUAGGGCUCUCUUCGAUCCAAAUACGUGAAUAUGCCCACCAAAAAUCAGAUCUUUACGUCUGUUCUCUCUGGAUCUCCUCUGAUUACCUCAGAGAAAUUGGUUGGCAGUGAGAAUUAUCUCUCCUGGUCUGCCUCUGUUGAACUUUGGUUUAUGGGUCAAGGAUAUGAGGAUCAUUUGGUUACCCAGGAGGCAGAUAUCCCUGAGGUUGACCGCGUACAGUGGAGGAAGAUAGAUGCACAGUUGUGUAGUGUAUUAUGGCAAUCGGUUGAUCCCCGGAUUCUUCUUCAUCUUCAGGCCUAUAAAACUUGUUUUAAAUUUUGGACUCAGGCCAAAGGAUUAUAUACGAAUGAUAUCCAGCGUCUUUAUAAGGUGGCUUCUGCUAUUGUCCAUCUCAGCCAACAGGACUUGGAUCUAUCUACUUAUAUUGGUCAGAUUGCCUCUCUUAAGGAGCAGUUCUUGACUGUGAUGCCUCUUACUCCUGAUGUUGGGGCUCAACAAACACAGCUUGACAAGUUCUUCAUGGUCCUUACUCUUAUUGGCCUCCGUCCGGAUCUUGAGCCUAUUCGUGAUCAGAUUCUUGGUAGUUCAUCAGUUCCGUCCUUGGAUGAUGUGUUUGCUCGCCUCCUCCGUAUCUCGUCCACUCAGACUUUGCCAUCUGAUAGCGCUUCAGAUUCUUCUAUGUUAGUUUCUCAAACUACCUCUCGAGGAGGACGCAGUGGUACCCGAGGUAGAGGCCAACGUCCUCAUUGCACCUAUUGCAAUAAACUUGGCCACACUCGCGAUCGUUGCUAUCAGUUACAUGGAAGACCUCCUCGCACUGCCCAUAUGGCCCAGUCCUCUGAUUCUCCGCUGUCUCAGCCUCCGAGCUCCUCCGCAUCUCAGACAUCUCAGGCUUCUAUUGCCUCUGUUGCCCAGCCUGGUAAUGCCUCUGCCUGCCUUACCCACACAUCUUCUCUUGGACCCUGGAUUCUAGAUUCUGGAGCAUCUGAUCACCUAUCUGGUAAUAAGGAUCUUUUCUCCUCUAUUACUACUACCUCUGAUUUACCUACUGUUACCUUAGCUAAUGGUUCUCAAACUGUGGCUAAAGGUAUUGGUUUGGCCCUUCCUCUGCCUUCUCUACCUCUCACUUCUGUCCUUUAUACUCCUGAAUGUCCUUUUAAUCUUAUUUCCAUCAGCAAAAUCACUCGUACUCUUAAUUGCUCUAUUACCUUUUCUGAUAAAUUUGUGACCUUGCAGGACCGGAGUACGGGGAAGACGAUUGGCAUAGGACGUGAGUCUCAAGGCCUCUAUCACCUCACCUCAGAUUCAUCUCCUGCAGUUUGCAUUUCCACUGAUGCUCCUCUCCUCAUUCACAAUCGUCUAGGCCACCCUAGUCUCUCCAAGUUCCAGAAGAUGGUUCCUCGUUUUUCAACUUUGUCGUCGCUUCCGUGUGAGUCAUGUCAGCUUGGGAAACAUACUCGUGUCUCGUUCCCAAAGCGUUUGAAUAAUCGGGCAAAGUCUCCUUUUGAGCUUGUCCACACUGAUGUUUGGGGUCCUUGUCGGACUGCGUCUACUUUAGGAUUUCAGUAUUUUGUCACUUUCAUUGAUGACUAUUCUCGAUGUACUUGGUUAUUUUUAAUGAAGAAUCGAGCUGAGUUAUUCUCUAUUUUCCAGAAAUUUUAUAUUGAAAUCCAAACCCAGUUCAAUAUUUCUAUUCGUGUGUUACGCAGUGACAAUGCCAGGGA
rnacentral:lncRNA from 1 species